rnacentral:rRNA from 1 species
UUCGGAGGUACUCGAGUGGCGAACGGGUGAGUAACACGUGGGCAAUCUGCCCUGCACUUCGGGAUAAGCCUGGGAAACUGGGUCUAAUAANCCGGAUAGGACCUCAAGACGCAUGUGCACUUCUGGUGGAAAGCUUUUGCGGUGUGGGAUGGGCCCGCGGCCUAUCAGCUUGUUGGUGGGGUGACGGCCUACCAAGGCGACGACGGGUAGCCGGCCUGAGAGGGUGUCCGGCCACACUGGGACUGAGAUACGGCCCAGACUCCUACGGGAGGCAGCAGUGGGGAAUAUUGCACAAUGGGCGCAAGCCUGAUGCAGCGACGCCGCGUGGGGGAUGACGGCCUUCGGGUUGUAAACCUCUUUCACCAUCGACGAAGGUCCGGGUUUUCUCGGAUUGACGGUAGGUGGAGAAGAAGCACCGGCCAACUACGUGCCAGCAGCCGCGGUAAUACGUAGGGUGCGAGCGUUGUCCGGAAUUACUGGGCGUAAAGAGCUCGUAGGUGGUUUGUCGCGUUGUUCGUGAAAUCUCACGGCUUAACUGUGAGCGUGCGGGCGAUACGGGCAGACUAGAGUACUGCAGGGGAGACUGGAAUUCCUGGUGUAGCGGUGGAAUGCGCAGAUAUCAGGAGGAACACCGGUGGCGAAGGCGGGUCUCUGGGCAGUAACUGACGCUGAGGAGCGAAAGCGUGGGGAGCGAACAGGAUUAGAUACCCUGGUAGUCCACGCCGUAAACGGUGGGUACUAGGUGUGGGUUUCCUUCCUUGGGAUCCGUGCCGUAGCUAACGCAUUAAGUACCCCGCCUGGGGAGUACGGCCGCAAGGCUAAAACUCAAAGGAAUUGACGGGGGCCCGCACAAGCGGCGGAGCAUGUGGAUUAAUUCGAUGCAACGCGAAGAACCUUACCUGGGUUUGACAUGCACAGGACGCGUCUAGAGAUAGGCGUUCCCUUGUGGCCUGUGUGCAGGUGGUGCAUGGCUGUCGUCAGCUCGUGUCGUGAGAUGUUGGGUUAAGUCCCGCAACGAGCGCAACCCUUGUCUCAUGUUGCCAGCGGGUAAUGCCGGGGACUCGUGAGAGACUGCCGGGGUCAACUCGGAGGAAGGUGGGGAUGACGUCAAGUCAUCAUGCCCCUUAUGUCCAGGGCUUCACACAUGCUACAAUGGCCGGUACAAAGGGCUGCGAUGCCGUAAGGUUAAGCGAAUCCUUUUAAAGCCGGUCUCAGUUCGGAUUGGGGUCUGCAACUCGACCCCAUGAAGUCGGAGUCGCUAGUAAUCGCAGAUCAGCAACGCUGCGGUGAAUACGUUCCCGGGCCUUGUACACACC